rnacentral:miRNA from 1 species
AAAGAAAUGGGAAUUGG